GAAGAUGUACAAAGAAUUUGGAAAAAAUGUAGGUGAACAAAGGCAUGAGUUUGGAAGCACAAGUGAGGAAAGCAUCCUUCUUACUUGACAGCCAUGGUCACAUAAACAAGCCUUUAGUGAUUGAUAGUUCAGCUCCAAGGACGGAGAAGAUUUUCAAAGCUACAUGAGCAGCAGCUGGGCUCCAAACCUGACUUCUAGUAGAGAUGAAGUGCCAUAUAAAGAUAUGUGGUUUUGUUUGCCUCCACCUUCCCAUCACCCACACAUAAACUAGAAAAAAAAAUCACAGACAUCCAGACUGGGCCUGCUUUUAAGGUAGAACAUCUCAGCUAUCUCGGCAGUCAACGAAGAGCAAAUUUAAGGUGUUAUUCAUCUUAUCCAAGAACAGAUGUUGGAAAAAGGUCAGGUUGUUCAACCUCGACAAAUGGCUAUAUCUUUCCAAUGUCUGUGACAGAAUUGCCUCAAUUCUGCCAUUUAAAUCUGUAUGGAAUGAAUGCUACCCGCUGGAAUUCAUAAGAACACCACCAAGUCACAGCUUUUUUUUUUUAAUUAACCAAAUCCUCCUCAGCUGUGCAAAAGGAACAUCUCCAUCCAGUGGAGAUUCUAGAUCUUGGCUCUAGGACAGCUGGAAGGACUAUCCUCACAUAGAACUGAGCGCCUUGCAAUACUCUGUUUUCUGCUGAUAUACUCUGUGCAAAUACAUCAACAGUGCAGAGAUGUUCGUGCGACUUGUUUUUUGUGUGAUAGACAGAGAGAACAUAGGGAUCCAAAUUUUGGUGUGAGCUCUACUCUGGGAAACAAGGUAUACAUUUACAUCCAAAGUAGGCUUGGCUUUCCAUAGCAUACUGAAAAUAUUUUAAGGGGUAUAAGCAUCUCAUCAAUGUCAAACUUGAGUCACUGAACAUCUUACACUUAGAAAAAAACUUUAGUCUGCUUUAUUUGAUUGCAAUUUAAGUAACUUCUAAGACUUGAAUAUAUAUUUAUAUUUAUAUAUAUAAAUUGACAUUCACUAUUUAUUCUAUCUAAGCCAUAAAUCUGGGAAUAUAUAGUUUCAGAAUUUGUAAUGUAGCUAUUGUUUGAUUCUCUCUGUUCAGCUUUGUUGUGGUGACAACCUGAAUGCAUAGAGUUAAAUCAUUGGAAAAGGCAAAAAAGUUGUUAAGAGCUGAGCAGAGAUGGCAGAACAAUGACACAGAUAAGGCAGCCCCAGGUAUACAACUUCAAAGAAUUUUAGAUAUGAGUGGCUGCUGGGCUAUGAGGAGACAAACUGACUCCAUAUAGGCUGGAAUGGUGUACUCUUCCUAGGGCUAUGCCUGGGUUCAGCAGAGAUUCAAAACUUCAAAGAUUUCAGAAAAGGGGAGGGGGCAUGAAUAGAUUAGGAAAGGCUGUGAAGGAUGAAUCGAUGAAAUGCUGACAGACUGCGAGAGACAUGGGAAGCACCAGCAAUAACGGGCUGAGUGAGGAGGUUUUCUUUUUUUCUUGUUUUGUUUUACCUCCAGGAAUGAGGUUAGCUCAGUUCAGUGGAAUAUACAAAGAAUCAAAGCUUUCACGCAGUUCAGUAGACAUUUCUGCCUUUCAGGAAUUCAUGCUCUGUUUCUUCUUUCACAGGUAUGACCACUGUGCCAUAUAAAUACAAAUCUGCAGAUGCUUUUGAUAAAACAGUCAUGACCAAUAUCUUAUUGUCACCUAGAUCAAGCCUAGGGAAGGGAAAGCUGUGAAAUCCAACUCAGGAGAGAUGGAAAUAAGGUCUUGAAACUUUGAUGCAAUUUCAGGAAAAUCCAAAAGAAAGAGUUUCAGAUAUUUCUUAGCUUUGAAACUAACCUUUGUUAUUGCACUACAUUAUAACAUUACAGUGUAUAAAUUUGAGUUAUUCUAGGGCUCAUGCUCAGAAAAGACAGACUGAGGACUUCCACAACAAUGAUAAGUGAUUUGGAUUCUGUCUGUUUUGAGCAGUGUGACCUUGUGUAGAAGUUAUCCUUGUUGGAUAACAGAACUAAAAGCUUGUUUAACCUUUGUUAUCCAUGCUUCAUUCAUUUUUUAUCUAUUUUUUAUCCAGUAAAAGAGGCUUUCUUG